rnacentral:snRNA from 1 species
AGGAUAACUUUUGCAUAUCC